GAAGCAAUCGUUGGGUGUUCCCCUGACGCUCAGAGAGCUCCUUCGCUCGCAAAUCGUGAAUGAAUUCCGGCCAAAUCGACUCCUUCCUCCGACGGUCGAGAACCACCAAACACCUCCUCCAGCUCCUCUCUCUGCUCCUCAAGACCGCCCUCUGCCGCGACUCGUAUUUGGCCUCUCGGUUCAUCCACCACGCGUGCUCGAUAUCUCUCCCGCUCGCCACAUCGGCUUUCGACCACUUGUCCCACACUCCUUCGCGUUUCGCUUGGAACUCGAUCAUAAGAUCGCACGCGAGGAGCUCGACCCCGCUGCGAGCGGUCGAGCUCUUCUCUGGAAUGCGAAGGACCGGGCUCGAGCCUGACAAAUUCACGUACCCUUUCGUCGUUAAGGCUUGCGGCAAGUGUGGGAGGAUUGGAGAAGGCAGGGGAGUGCAUUCUUUGGCUCUGAAAGUCGGUCUUGGAUCGGAUUCGUAUGUAGGGAACACCCUUAUUCGCAUGUAUGCUGCUUGCGGUAAUUUUGGAUUCGCGAGGCAGGUAUUCGACGAAAUGCGCACUAGGGACAUUGCCUCUUGGAGCUCUAUGAUUGCCGGAUAUGUUGCUUGCGGCCUUCCUUUGGAUGCUUUUAAGAUUUUCCGACGUAUGAGACUGGCAAAUGAGGAACCCAACUCUGUUACUUUCGUGAGUCUGCUCUCUGCUUGUUCGCAUCUGGUCAAUCUCCGAGCAGGGGAGUGCAUCCAUUCAUACAUCAUCCUGAAUUGUAUGUAUCUGGACGCAGCCCUUGGAACAGCUCUCCUGGAGAUGUAUUCCAAGUGCGGUCACAUUGAGAAGUCUCUCCAAAUUUUCUGGUCAAUGGAUGAUAAAAAUCUGCAGUCUUGGACACUAAUGGUUUCUUGCCUAGCAGACCAUGGGAGGGGGGAAGAUGUCAUUUUUCUGUUCGACCAGAUGGAACGAUCUGGGAUAAAACCAGAUACCAUACUGUUUUCUGGAAUCUUGUCAGCUUGUGGCCACUUGGGUCUUGUUGAUGACGGUCGGAGAUAUUUUCAAAUGAUGGAGGAAGUGUAUGGUAUCAGGCCUACAACAGAGCACUAUGGAUGCAUGGUGGAUUUGCUUGGAAGAGCUGGCUUGAUUGAGGAAGCUCAUAGAAUUAUCGAGAUGAUGCCAAUGGAGCCCAACUCAAUAAUUCUGAGGAGCUUCAUUGGUGCUUGCAGAAACCAUGGCCAUUUGGUUAAGUUAGAUGAUGACCUGAUGAAACUUCUUAUAAAACUAGAACCUGACGUUGGAGCAAACUAUGUGCUUGCUGCGAACAUGUCUUCCUUAUCUAGUAGUUGGACUGAUGCUGCUGAAAUGUGGUUAUUCAUGAAAAGGAGGGGUUUAAAGAAAGCUCCAGGUUCUAGCUGGGUCGAGGUGAAUGCCAGUUCUGUUGAAGGGAUCAAAGAAGAAGCUGUUGGAUGAGGUUAGACUUCAUUAUGAGGAAUCCUUCAUACUGUUUGUCUUCUUUCUUCUCGAGCAUGUUUUAAAUAAAUGAUUAAACUGUCCUAACGUAGAUCUUGGAGUGGAGGAACCUAACCUGUGUCCUGUACAGAACACUUCGACUUUGCUACUAAUAGGAUCCUUGAAAAAACUGACACUGUAAAUGUAUUGCGAUCGAAAUUCUGCAUUUCCUAAUGGUGCUUCGUUGACUGGCAAACAUCUCAUACUCGUCGGCUUGAACGAUGGUUGUUUGAUUGUCUCCGAAAGAACGGUUUCGAAAGAUCCUCAGAUUUCUGCGGAUCUAGGGGUAACUUGAUUUUAUGGGCGGUCUAUGCGUUAAGAUUCACCAUUCCAAGACCAAGCAGAGCAGUACAAUAGUAGUCCUGGUUGAAGAAGGGACCUCAGUGAGGCUGGAUUGUCAGUCACGUGCCUGCACAUGGUAAGAGGUAAAU